rnacentral:rRNA from 1 species
GAGGAAUAUUGGUCAAUGGACGAAAGUCUGAACCAGCCAAGUAGCGUGCAGGAUGACGGCCCUCUGGGUUGUAAACUGCUUUUAGUUGGGAAUAAAAAAGAGGACGUGUCCUCUAUUGUAUGUACCUUCAGAAAAAGGACCGGCUAAUUCCGUGCCAGCAGCCGCGGUAAUACGGAAGGUCCAGGCGUUAUCCGGAUUUAUUGGGUUUAAAGGGAGCGUAGGCGGAUUAUUAAGUCAGUGGUGAAAGACGGUGGCUCAACUAUCGUUAGCCAUUGAAACUGGUAGUCUUGAGUGCAGACAGGGAUGCUGGAACUCGUGGUGUAGCGGUGAAAUGCUUAGAUAUCACGAUGAACUCCGAUCGCGAAGGCAGGUGUCCGGGCUGCAACUGACGCUGAGGCUCGAAAGUGUGGGUAUCAAACAGGAUUAGAUACCCUGGUAGUCCACACAGUAAACGAUGUAUACUCGCGGUUUGCGAUAGAAUGUAAGCCGCCAAGCGAAAGCAUUAAGUAUACCACCUGGGGAGUACGCCGGCAACGGUG